rnacentral:lncRNA from 1 species
CCUCCAACCAAACCAGCGAGCCUGCAGAGAGACCAGACAACAACACUCAGCAGGAAGACCUUUGCUAUGCCAGCGUGAGCUUCUCUAAACACCAGGAAGAUCUUCUGUACUCCAAUGUCAGGCCAGCUCGGCCCCACAGACGCAAGAAGGAGGAGGAAGAGGAGGAAGAGGAGGAGGUGGAGUACACGCCUGUCAACCUUCAGAGGGCCGGUGCUGCCAACCAGUAAAGACGUCAAGAAGCUGUGGAGGACUCACCUGCACUCUGCAGCUCAGUCAGCAGACCACCAAGAGUAUGAGCACAGCGCAGAUCUGGGGUCUAUUUCUUUACAGAGUUGUAGCAGGUUCAACACACAGCUGUCACACACCUUAUUAAUCAUCGUUAGGACUUCCAGCAGAGAACGAGCAUCAGUCAGCCAAUGGGGGUCAGCUUGGAAUAUGGAAAUAGCUUUCCUAUACAGAAUUAGCUUGAGUAAUAUGUUUCUGCCAGAACGAGAAUAGCAUCUUAUAAAGUGCAUUUGUCUAUAAACAGCACGUCUUUCCCAAUUUCAGUUCCGCUGUUCUUUUUUGUUGAAUUUGCUGUUUUUGUUUUCAAAUAUAUAAAAAAUUUUCUCCGCUAACUUUUAAAAUUUUUUUCUAAAGGUGCAUCAAAAGUUUGUGUUUUGUAUAAGUCUCUCAACUUAAAGGUGCUAUAUUGGACUUUCAGAGCAUUAAUAUCAUAGAUUUGGGGUCGGCUGUAGCUCACGGG